UUCCAUGUCCUCCAAGUUUCAAGUUUUGGGGGCAGCAACCCAUGCUGAGUGGCUCCAAGUACUUUGGGGACCUCCAAGAAUCAUCCCACAUUCCCCAGAGCAAGUCCAUCGCCUCUGCACAUCCUUUGACCAGGGAUUAUGCUUGCUAAUUUGGAUUCUACUAAGUCCCAUGAUCCUAAGGCUGGGUCUAGGAACCCAUGCACAGUACCCCAAGCCAUCCCAAGUGGGCAGUUUGGAUCCCAAAGAAAGAAGUACCUAAUACCAGGGUUGUGGUCCACACACUCACCAAGACAGUGUACACACAGAGGAGGCUACGAUGAGACAAGGAUGCUCUGUGGAGGUUCUUCAGCAGAUGUCAGCCACCCAUUCCAGGCCUCACAGAGGUUGUCACCGUCCACUGCCACAGAGGACUUCCACAGCCGUCAUCCAUCAGCUAAUGAUGAGCCUUUUCCCUCCUCUUAUCAAGUUCUCCAUAGACCUGGCUCAUAUGGCAGACCGGAGGCUCUCUUGUUUCCAAAUCGUGGACGACAUAGAUGGCAAAUUUAGAACUGGAAGUGGACGAAGUAGAAAUAAUUAGGUACAAG
ensembl:lncRNA